UGAAGUUCAAGACGUAAAUUCUGUCUUAUUAGUAUCUGAUGUUAUCUUAGCUUGAUUGGCACUCUUCAGCAAUAUAAUGCACAGCUCGCAUCAUUAUAGAAAACGCGGAAACAGUACCAUCACAUGUUAAUUAACUGAUUAAUGCCUUUAUGUUAUUGCUAUGAAUACCUUUAUAAAUAACCACUAAUUAAUAAAUACACGAGGAAAGCUGUCAUACGUAAAUCAAAAUAUGAAUAUAAAGAUAUCAGUGACUCCAUUUACGACUUUUAUGAUUUUAUGAAUGAAACGUACUUUAACAGUUGCAAAUGACAUCUGUCAUAAAAUAAAAGGAACAUCGAUUAUAGCACAUGAUAGUAUAAUUACAAUUCUUGACAGUGCACAAAAGACGCGGAAAC
rnacentral:lncRNA from 1 species